rnacentral:rRNA from 1 species
GAUGAACGCUGGCGGCGUGCCUAAUACAUGCAAGUCGAGCGAACGGACGAGAAGCUUGCUUCUCUGAUGUUAGCGGCGGACGGGUGAGUAACACGUGGAUAACCUACCUAUAAGACUGGGAUAACUUCGGGAAACCGGAGCUAAUACCGGAUAAUAUUUUGAACCGCAUGGUUCAAAAGUGAAAGACGGUCUUGCUGUCACUUAUAGAUGGAUCCGCGCUGCAUUAGCUAGUUGGUAAGGUAACGGCUUACCAAGGCAACGAUGCAUAGCCGACCUGAGAGGGUGAUCGGCCACACUGGAACUGAGACACGGUCCAGACUCCUACGGGAGGCAGCAGUAGGGAAUCUUCCGCAAUGGGCGAAAGCCUGACGGAGCAACGCCGCGUGAGUGAUGAAGGUCUUCGGGUCGUAAAACUCUGUUAUUAGGGAAGAACAUAUGUGUAAGUAACUGUGCACAUCUUGACGGUACCUAAUCAGGAAGCCACGGCUAACUACGUG